UGCGUCAAACUGCCGUCUCCGCCCACCCCAAACAAGCUCAACCAAGAGCCGCAGCUCCCGGCGCUUUGCUGGGGGCUGGAGGGGCUCAUCCCCAUGCCUGUAUCCCAGCAGGCUAAAACCUUCCCCACCGCAGUCUUCAAGGUUGCCUGGCUCCCCACCAGACUCUUCCCACCCUUCCAUAGGACGGUGGAGAUGGAUGCGACAUCUAGACCGGGACGCUGAAUCUACCAACAGCGCACAGAAGGGGCAACCGAGUGCCCCAGCAAAGUCCUGGAGGUUUGUUGAUCCAGCAGUCUUCACCUCUGUUGAGCCUUGACGCUGUGCCUGGUGCUAAAAGCUGAGGAGAGGGAAGAAGCGGGACCCUCCCGGAACUCGUGUCUGGUGUCUGGCUGAGAGCCAGAACAUGCCACUACUUUGUUAUCCUGCCCUCCUCCAUGGAUUUCUAUAUUCCAUCAUUCUUCUCAAAUAAAACUCGGACCUGCCUUUUCCCUUCGAACGCUGAAGGCUCUGUCUCCAAGUUCCCCUGCUGGAAGGCAUAUUAUGAAAUGGGAUGUACCAUCAGAGACGAAGGGCACAGUGAUUUGUGAAUUUUUAUUCCCACUUCCAGAACUCAUCUUUAGGUCAUCAUGACUCCUCGCCAACAUGCCUACCCUGACCUUCUAUCUGCUCUUCAUGUCUGCCUCUCACCUCCUUCUAAGGAAACCUUUCCCACCAUUAUCAAACCAAUUUUCCUAAUGUUCAUUUCUGUUAAUAUUUCCCACAGCAAACAGCAUUAUUUCUCUUACAUAUGGCCUAUGGAACAUUAGUCUGUCAACUGCUUUUUAAGAAAGGAAAAAAUAAAUGGAUGUUCUCUGGUCAAAUAAA